UUCAUAUGCGUGGCCUGCGCCUUUAGGAGUUUCUUACUGGCGGCCUUGUCCACCCCGUCCUACUCCUACACAGCCAGUGCUUCCACCACAACCUGUUCUUUCGGCGACAGCUACUGAUGCAGAGGAGUUUGAGAGAUUGCUUGCAGCCUAUGAUGCUAGUGUGGUGCAGUUGCAGUCUAAUUUUGAUGAUCACAUGUCUUCUUUUGAGUCAUAGUAUGUUGCAUACUGGACUUGGAUUUAUGAGGAUGCUAGAGUUGCUUCUAUUCUUGUUUGAGUAUGCAUAUAAGUUAUGGGCUUUUCUUCGUGA
rnacentral:lncRNA from 1 species